GAGUUUGAUCGUGGCUCAGAACGAACGCUGGCGGCAGGCCUAACACAUGCAAGUCGAACGCCUCAGCAAUGAGGAGUGGCAGACGGGUGAGUAACGCGUGGGAACAUCCCCCUUAGUACGGAAUAGCCCAGGGAAACUUGGAGUAAUACCGUAUACGUCCGUAAGGAGAAAGAUUUAUCGCUGAGGGAUUGGCCCGCGUAGGAUUAGCUAGUUGGUGAGGUAACGGCUCACCAAGGCGACGAUCCUUAGCUGGUUUGAGAGAAUGACCAGCCACACUGGGACUGAGACACGGCCCAGACUCCUACGGGAGGCAGCAGUGGGGAAUCUUGGACAAUGGGCGCAAGCCUGAUCCAGCCAUGCCGCGUGAGUGACGAAGGCCUUAGGGUUGUAAAAGCU
rnacentral:rRNA from 1 species